AUAGGCAUGUGACCCGUUUCGACUCCACCCCCUCAAAGAAUCAGAAUCGAAAAGAACCGGGAUCUGAAUUGGAAUAAGAAUUGUUAAAAUCCAAAGAUGCCCAACCUUAUUUAUAGUAAGAUGUAAUAUGUCUGAGGUGUGUCCCUGCUCCCGAAAUUAUGCUAGGAAGCAUCAAUAUUACAGCAAAACUGACAGCUUCCCUUUGUCAUUUGACUUCUCAUUUUUAGUGAUCUAGUAAUAGUGACACAGGACUGUAAAGUAAACUGUAACCAAAGGUGUGUAUUUGUAAAAUGUAACAUUAGAUGAAAUGGUCAAAUGAACUCUCAUUAUGCAAAGUUCCUUUUGUCAAACUUCCCUUGUACUUUUUUCUUGUACUCAGACGGACGUUUCUACACAAUUCUCUUCUGCCUUUUUUUUCAUACGAGAAGAGACAGAACUACAUUUACAAAGUUCAAUCACUGCCCAGCACUGCCCCCCCCCCCCCCCCCCCCCCCCCCCCCCCCCCCCACCGGGGUCACCUGGUACUCACAGCCGAGCCAGUCACUGGCUGUCCAAAUAGAUUAAAGGACCACACCGGUGUCAAGUUACAUUCCUGCCGACCAUUUUCCAAAGCACGCUCCGGUGUUUCUCGCUUGAUUUAAUGGAUUUAUGCUCAGUCGACUUGCAGGAAAAGCUCAAUCCUUACCUCAUUUCUGCUUUUGUUUGUUGUCAAAGUUACAUCACUGGUUGUCAAACUGGGCCAUGCUUUAUUUCACAGGUUCCUAGUUUCCCAAUAACUUCCUAACAAGGAGUCUGGAAAACUCACGCUGAUGCUUAGACAGCUUUGAAGGCUGGAUGCUGGAUCCCUAACCCUGAUGUUGUCUUCGGGUCAAAUUUGACCCGUUUUCAAAGUUUUUUUUUAAUAUCUGAAAUAAAGGAAUUCGAAACACGGGGGAAAAAUGUUGGAAAAAACGGCAAAAUAUAUGGCAAAAAAAUCAAAAAAUACCAAAAAAAUGCUAAAACUUCAUAAAAAAACUUUGUCAACAGCAACAAAAACGUUGAGAUAAGGGGAAAAUGUUUUUCAUGGUCACAGGGAAGACAACACAAGGGUUAAAGAGAAUAUUCACACACACACAAUCACUCGGGCAGCGCCCUUCCUCUGCAUGUGCACCUUUUUUUUUUAAUUGCCUGUGCACACGCUGAGGAAGGGCGCUGCUCGAAAGGUCCGAUGUGUGGCAAUAAACUCAAAUUGGAUUGCUCUCCUAGUAGCUUUAUUUAUAAUAUUUACAGGGGAAAUGAAGACAAUUAGUCCAACUGGAACACUUGUAAUGUUUCCUCAUUGGUAGCGUAACCUUUCUUUACCAAAGUCAACUCCAAUAUAAAAACUCAUCUCCAGUUAAAACAAUUUUAGGCAGUUCUAGCUAGAAAAUUCCUCUGGAAAUUAAAAACCAAACUAUGUGACAAUCACAUCAGUUGCUGGUUCUUUCUUAAAACAAUCUAAUAAACGACAUGUGGGUGUGUUUGCCCAUAUGGAGCUAAUUUCUCAAAAAACAUAUUUAAUUUGUGUUCAUUAUGAACUAAAAUAACUACGGGACCUGGUAAAUAAAGUGUUUUAACAGGUUGCACACACACAUUGGGACACUAAACUAAGAUGACAAAUAAAUGAAAUACACGAUGACGUCAUGAUGGAUUUCCUUUCCCUAGCGACAUCCUAGUUUUUAUUUUAGAGUGAAAUACAAGGAAGCCAAUAACUGCCUGAAAGGUAGAGAAAACACUAAAAAAAAAAACAGCUGUGGGAAAUGGACGGCAUGAAUGUAAAGUGCAUGCAAUCCAUGUUAAAUGGGCUCAAAUUUGAACACACUGGUGUGGUCAUUUAAACAAAUCAUAUAAGUGCUCUUUCUGUCGCAUUUCAUUAUUUAUUAUCUCAAAGGUUGUGAAAAUUUCGUGUUUGUACUUAUGCUAAUUAUGUAUUUAGCUGCACUGUUCUUGUAUUGUACAGAAGACUAAUGUCCCUACUGAGAGCAUUUGGUACAGUAUGUCGGUGUGAGACACCCACAUGUACAUUCUCAAAUUCACACACAUCGUAUGUGAACUUGUUUAAACUACCAAGCAAAAAAAAAAAAAAAAGAUCAAUUUCUACUUACAAAUCAGUAUCCUUACUAGUGUGCGGUAUGAAGUUCAAAGCUCUGAACAACACACACUGGUUAUUGAUUUGGGGAGAUGCCAAAUUCAUCUGCUGUUGAAAAGUCGAUGGGGAGUCACGUGGCAGACGUGAGCGCUGCUGCCGGCUUCGCUGUCCACGCCAUUGGAGAACUGGAUGUGUUUGGGCUUCUUCUGUCCACCAGUGUCGGGGAGGGGGGGGGAUCACUUUCAACACAGGAAGGUCAAACUAGAUUUUGAAACUGCGAUCGGCAUUAUUUCAUAGCACUUGAUUUAAGAUAACAAAAAUUGGUUAACAGGUAACUACCAUUUAUUUUUCAACCCUAUUUUCCCAUAUUUUUGUGUCUAAGUGACUGAUCGGAACAACAAUCUUUGACAUCGGUCCAGUAUUAAGCGAGAUCGUAGCGGAGAAACAAGCUACAACGUCAAGUUAAUGGGACACUUUGUAGGUACAGGUCGUAUUUACCUUCGCAAAAGUGUUUGUUUUGCGACUGACAGGUUCAGAUUAAUAUUUAUGUGUUGACAACAUUAUGGAAAGGAUUUCUAAGGAGGUUGACCUUUCUGUUAAAGAGUAACAUUAUUAUUUUUUUACACAUAAAAACGUGCAAAAUUUUGAUCGCCAUACCUGCCAAACUCCAUGUAAAUAAACAGUAAUUUUAGCAUCGUAAAAUACAUUUAAUUCAAAGUCCACAGAAACACAAUGCAACGAUGAAAAGAUGUUUUGGUUCGUCUUCCCACUUUUACAACCAUCACAACUCUAGUUUGGGUUGAAAUAAACACACAGUUAACCAUUUUACAUGUGAAAAUAUGUUGGCUCUGUACAUGCUAAAAGUAUUGUUUUUUUAAAUGGAGUCUGGUGGGUUUAGCGCUAGCGAGUUCAGAGCGGUUUCAGGUUAAACAGAAAGGUCUUAAAUUGGUUUUUAAAAAGGUCUCUCUCUGUAGGGAUCCUUUCCAUAAUGUUCUCAGACACUUAAUAAUAAUUAAGAAUGAUCAUCUGAGCCUGUCAGAACUUUUAGUGGACAAAAGUGACUCUGCACAUUUGCCCCAUAGGGUUACAUUGCAGCUCAAACUCUGGCUGCCGGUUACAGUGUUCUCGCUUAAUACUGAACCAGCGUUAAAGAUUGUUGUUCCCGUCAGUCACUUACACAACAAAACAUGGGAACAUUUGUAAUUUUGGUAAAAUGUCAAACAAAAUAAGUGGAAUAUUUGAAUUUCUAAACUUUAACCCUUGUGGAUCAGUGAAUAACGGCAGCUUGGCCAUACUAGCGUUAACAGACUAGAAUGAGCUAAAAUUAAAAAUUAAAACAAAUCUUCUGUUUGAGUGAAAUUAGUGAACUGAUCCCACCGAUGACAUCUCUGUUUGCCAAUGAUAAUCUCGUUAGAAUGAGUACACUGAAGAACACUGCUCAGCUGAGUUUCGUAGACUUUAAUUCCUCAAUGUGAACGUGUUAAUUUAUUUAUUUGGACUCUUGUUGUUAGGGGUCGGGGUCGGGUGCAUAGAUGUAAGAUGUAGGUUGCCCUUUACUUAGAGUUAAUUUGUUAAUGGUUGUGUUUAUUUUUAUUUAACUGUUGCCAAUUCCAUGAAAAAUAAGUCUUCAUUUACAAGUCACACAUGUACUUACUUAAGUUUUAAUAUUUCACCUUACAGGGGUGUGAGUAUGUUUACAAUUUUGUGUAUUUAUUACCAUUUUGUUUUGUAAAGAUAGGCCUAUAAUUAAGACCUGAGAAUUAAGUUCAAUAGAAAAGCUGAUAAAGCUCUUUUUUUAUCUACAUAAGUUAAAAGUGUUGAUGAGUUUGUAAGAAAUAGCAUCUGACAAGUGCAGCUACAAAGUCUUGCCUUAGAGGUUACAGAGGCCAAACUAGCCAGCAAUGGAACAAAGGAUUUGAUUCAAUGGAAAGUGCACUGCAGCUUUAAGGAACUGCGUUGCACCAGCCUCACAAAAC